UGAACUUUUUGAAACGUGAACAUCUUUGGUGAAUCGUCUUUCAUCGGAGGGACAUAAAGAUUUCAUUAAAAUAUCUCUGCUUUUCUUUCGAAGAUGAACGAAAGUCUUAGAUGAUUUGGAGCAUCUUAAGGCUUCUGCAACCUCAGUGUGACUGACUUCAGACAAGAACAAAGAUCAAAUUGUAAGAAGGGCUGCUUAUAAGAGCAUACAGUGCAUCUGAAACUGCUGAGGCUGGGAAGGUUUUUGACUAUAUUACCGACCAGGUACAUUGUACUCCGCAUGCUUAAAAAGAAAACAAAUCAUCAUUUGCUUAUUUUUUUAUUUGUGUGUGUGUGUGUGUGGAAUAUUAACAUGUGUUGUUUUUCUGAUCAGCUGCUAUAGAAGACAAACUGAAAUCUGAGUGCAGGGGCGGGAAUAGUAUGUAUAUUUUAAUGUCUCCUCUGUUAUAGAGAUUUUUGAAUCAGGCCUAAAGGAGGGUGAUUCGGUCAAUCUUGGAAGAAAAACGUUAGCAAUGUGUCCAUUCCAGGUGGCUAUCGUGCUUCCUUUCAGUCAUUCAUGUAAAAAUCUGUUAUUUAAUUUAAAAAACUUUUUUUUUUUUGGAUGACUAGGACAACUUAUAAUUUUAUUUUAUUUUUUAAUCUCAAGCUUGAUGAGGAUAUUGUCAAAAGGUAAACUAAAUUCUAAUGAAUAUCAAUGCAAAUUAUUAUACAUCAUGGAUGAAAAACUGUUAUUGGCUAAUUUGAUAUCAGUUCUUUUUCCCUUUCACAGAUCCUGUGAUAAAGCAGUCUUCAAAUACUAGUGUCUGAAUUGCAAGCCCUUAGUUGCAGAACAUGCAAGUCGUACUCAAAGAAGUGACCUUAUUCAUAAAUUUUUUCUUCAUAAAAUUGCAUUGUAAUUUUUAUUUAUUCAUUGAUGUAAAAUUCUGUACUUUUCAGUAAUACAGGUAUAACUGAAAUGUUCUACAAAUUGAUAAGAUAGCUCUGCCAUAGCAUUUCAGUCUUUUUUUCAUUUAUUAUAAUGUUUUUUUGUAUAAUGUUUUAAAAUGUACUUGAGUAUGUUUGUAGUAAUACAAAUAUACUAUAAGCAUACUUGUAUUUUAAGUGCAUUUUUAAUUACACGUUUUUUUUCACCAAG